CGGACGGGUGAGUAAUGCUUGGGAAUCUGGCUUAUGGAGGGGGAUAACUACGGGAAACUGUAGCUAAUACCGCGUAGUAUCGGAAGAUGAAAGUGUGGGACCGCAAGGCCACAUGCCAUAAGAUGAGCCCAAGUGGGAUUAGGUAGUUGGUUAGGUAAAGGCUGACCAAGCCGACGAUCUCUAGCUGGUCUGAGAGGAUGACCAGCCACACUGGAACUGAGACACGGUCCAGACUCCUACGGGAGGCAGCAGUGGGGAAUAUUGCACAAUGGGGGGAACCCUGAUGCAGCCAUGCCGCGUGAAUGAAGAAGGCCUUCGGGUUGUAAGGUUCUUUCGGUGAUGAGGAAGGUGUUUGUUUUAAUAGAACAAGCAAUUGACGUUAGUCACAGAAGAAGCACCGGCUAACUCCGUGCCAACAGCCGCGGUAAUACGGAGGGUGCGAGCGUUAAUCGGAAUAACUGGGCGUAAAGGGCACGCAGGCGGUGACUUAAGUGAGAUGUGAAAGCCCCGAGCUUAACUUGGGAAUUGCAUUUCAUACUGGGUCGCUAGAGUACUUUAGGGAGGGGUAGAAUUCCACGUGUAGCGGUGAAAUGCGUAGAGAUGUGGAGGAAUACCGAAGGCGAAGGCAGCCCCUUGGGAAUGUACUGACGCUCAUGUGCGAAAGCGUGGGGAGCAAACAGGAUUAGAUACCCUGGUAGUCCACGCUGUAAACGCUGUCGAUUUGGGGAUUGGGCUUUGAGCUUGGUGCCCGUAGCUAACGUGAUAAAUCGACCGCCUGGGGAGUACGGC
rnacentral:rRNA from 1 species